UUUGCCAUUAUGCAUAUGAAUAGAGAUCCUGAGUUUGUCUCGUGUGGAUGCAUGUCUUGAGUAAAAAAGAUACACAGAUUAAUGCAGUCAUUGUCAAAGACGCGUCAACCAAUGAAAAUAUUGCUAGAAAUGCAUCCUGAGUAAUCUAUCUUAAAAGGAGAUGUCCCAUAAAGAAUAUUGUUUAUACUUAAAUCCAGAGCCAAAUCAUGAGGAAGAAGACUGCAAUGCUUUCGAAAUGUGUUGUCCUUUUAUCAAUAAACCUUUUAGCUUUCCUCCUGUCUCCGAGACAACUUAAUUCUCCAUCCAGUCAUAGCGGGAAGCAUUGUUUUUCCUCUCCUAUACUGUAAAUGUAUAGAGGUGGACACACAUGCUUAAUUUUUCUUCUCUCUCUUAUCUACUGUGUAUGUCGAGAGAUUCCAGGUGAGGUGAGCCAAAUGCCUCUGAAGAAACAGCAUCUUCUCUGCAUUUCAAACAUGAAAUGCUAUUCUGCAUUUUUUUUUACCCUUUCAGAGGUCAUUCUACAUGGAGUGGUAAUAAUGAUCUCUGCUGUGAUGGUGGAUUCAGUGUUAUCUAUCUAUUGGUGUCACCGUUCACUGUACUCCUGUCUGUGCUUAGAAGUAAGGCGGGGUGUAAUGGAUGUCGGUGUGAGCAGACGCAAGCUCUAGGAGCUCCCGCUACCCUGCAUAAAUUUACCCUGUAUGCUUACCCUGCAGCAGCUGGUAUCUGUCCUAAGUGUAUCUGUCCUUUAGUACUGCAGUUUUAGUCUUCUCCAGCGUUCUUUUAACGCUCCAUAGUUGUAACGUUUAGGGUCUAGGUCUGCACCGUUUUAGGGACUUGCAGUUUUCUAUGUCCCGUUUAGUGUUAGACAGGGUGUUAUUGGGGAUGUUUUUUGUUCUGCCUUAUUGCCGUUGUUUUUUGUUUGUGCCGUUUGUCUUUUUGUUGGUUGUAUGUGGUAUGUAUGGUCCCGGAGCUCUGCCCUUCUCUGUCCAUAUCCUCCUGUGGGUUUUCUUGUGUGUACGCAAAGUUAUUUUCCGCAAUGGGGGCUCUGAAGGUGGUUAGCUGGAAUGUACAGGGCCUAAAUUCUAAGUUUAAAAGGGGCUUGUGUCUGGACUUUGUGAAACGCCAGUCUCCUCAAAUGAUAUGCCUGCAGGAGACUUAUGUUACGGGUCAGAAAGUUAUUUCUCUAAAAAGGGCCGGAAUAGCUAAGGGAUAUCAUGCCUCAAAUUCUAAUUAUACUCGGAGUGUCUCUAUGUUAAUCACCAAUUCCCUGCUGUUGACGGUUACACAGGAAGCUUGUGAUCACUGGGAGAUUUGUGAUUUUGCACUGUUCACUGGGUUCCUUCUCCUUUGCUCUUGUCUCUGUUUAUGUGCCUCCCCCCUUUCAGGUCUCAGUACUGGAGCUCAUUACUAACCUUCUGCUGUCUUUUCCCUCUGAUCCUAUUCUUUUCAUAGGUGAUUUCCAUGUAGCUCCUGAUCCAUUGCUUGAUCGCACCACUGCUGUUGACCCUGGCUCAUCGUCCUUUAACACCUGGCGCUUGGCGUUGGGCCUGACCGACCUCUGGAGAUGGAAGUACCCGGCCUUUUCUUCUACUUCUAUUCUAUAGGUUAUUCUCUCGAAUUGACAUCCGUUGGCAUCAGAGGACCUCCUCCUGGCGUUGGUCUACGCAGCAUGGUGGAUCAAUCUGGAUCUGUCGAACUCGGUGACGGCCUUAGCUGGAGCGAUGAUGGGUUUCUAUGAAGUGCUUACUAACAUACUCUACAGGUAAUUUUCUGAUGACACAUAACCUUUAAAAAGUGCAAAUGAAAUCGUAGAAGCAGAGAAGAAACAAAACUAGGCAUGCAUGUCCAACUCGCCACUUUCUGGAAUCGAUAUAGUGGAGCUAUUAAAAAGAAAGAGCAGGUAACGCUACAAUAAUAUCAUUCCUAGAAUAUCUAGUAAUAGCAGCAUGUUUGUUUUGCUGGUGCACCUACUGAUACUCAGAAUAAAAGAGCGUUGAUGCUGACAAGUUAUUCCUGCACAGCCAUGGCCCUAGUCACUUUGGAACUAUAAAUACAGAUCCAUACAUACAAAGCAAGAGGCAGAUGGUGGCUGGGACGCUGUGCAGGGAAUAAACAAAAUUGGCCCUUAUUCUUUUUAUUUUAUGACUGGUGGCUGUUGCAAAGGGCAUACCUCACUGAUCAAAAUGUUAUGACAUAUGACAUAUGUUACUAUAUGGAAAUGUCCCUUUUAAAAUCAUUUUCUUUAAAAGGAUG